AACGAACGCUGGCGGCAUGCCUAACACAUGCAAGUCGAACGAACCCUUCGGGUCUAGUGGCGCACGGGUGCGUAACGCGUGGGAACCUUCCCUCAUGGUCGGCAUAACUCCCCGAAAGGGGUGCUAAUACCGGAUAAUGUCUUCGGACCAAAGAUUUAUCGCCUUUGGAUGGGCCCGCGUUGGAUUAGCUAGUUGUUAGGGUAAAAGCCUACCAAGGCGACGAUCCAUAGCUUGGCUGAGAGGAUGAUCAGCCACACUGGGACUGAGACACGGCCCAGACUCCUACGGGAGGCAGCAGUGGGGAAUAGUGGACAAUGGGCGAAAGCCUGAUCCAGCAAUGCCGCGUGAGUGAUGAAGGCCUUAAGGUUGUAAAGCUCUUUUAACCGGGAUGAUAAUGACAGUACCGGGAGAAUAAGCCCCGGCUAACUACGUG
rnacentral:rRNA from 1 species